GAUGAAGAACGUAGCGAAAUGCGAUAAGUAGUGUGAAUUGCAGAAUUCAGUGAAUCAUCGAAUCUUUGAACGCACAUUGCGCCCUUUGGUAUUCCUUAGGGCAUGCCUGUUCGAGCGUCAUUUACCCCUCAAGCGCUGCUUGGUGUUGGGCGCCUGUCUCCGCCUCUGGCGCAGACUCGCCUCGAAAUCAUUGGCGGCCUGUGUGGUGGCUCCGAGCGCAGCACAUUCGCGUCUCGGGCCCCCGACACUGGCGUCCAGCGAGCACGAUAACCAUCUUGACCUCGGAUCAGGUAGGGAUACCCGCCGAACUUAAGCAUAUCAAUAAGCGGAGGA
rnacentral:misc_RNA from 1 species